rnacentral:tRNA from 2 species
AAGAAAGUGUCAGAAGGGUUAUGUAGCUGGCUUGAAACUAGCUUAUGGGGGUUCGAGUCCUCCCUUUCUCG